rnacentral:lncRNA from 1 species
GAGACAGUAAGAUGUUAAAACUGGUUCAAAGAAUAUUUGAGAAUGUAGUAUAUAAUGCAACUUAGUAAAUUGUUGGGUAAAUACAAAACUGGUUAUUGUCCAACAGGGCCAUAAACUACAGCUUUUGGGUUUCUCUGUUGCACUGAACAGAAAUUAUUUGCAUCUCUACUGAAUAAAAAUCUGUAAGUUAACCUCACCUCUAUAGAGUUGUAAAAUAGCCUUAGCAAGUAGGAAGUCAUCCCUAGCACUGUCCUAAAAUAACACCUAGUACUUAUUUUCUUUUGCCCAUUUCCAAGCUUUGGGUAAUUUUUCUGGCAGAAGGUAUCUCAAAGGGCCUAGCUACCUUCUUGGAAUGGAGAAGGGAAAAAAUAUAGCAAGAACAAACUUCAAAAUAAUAUCUCAAUUAUCCCCUCAAAGAAACAUAUGAGACCCCAUUAUUAUGCUAACAAAGUAUCAGUCUUUAUUCUGCCUCCCUGAAGGACUUCUCCUUCCUGCUAAGGGAAGGCAAUGACAAAGACACAAAACUUCUUUCUGUCCCAUAUGAGACACUCAAGUGGAGCCUUUGCCCUCUAGCAUGAAGCACACUCACAGAUGCUCCUGAACAACACCUGAAAAUCCAACAAAGCAGGACAGAGGUCAAGCCCAGCCUUGAUCUCAUUAGUGUGAGAUGUUAGACCCUCAUUUUAUUGCCAAAACCUUCACCCUUAUGACAGGUUGGCCAUCUGUCUAAUGCCUGGCUAAGUCACAAGCUGGGAGAAAAAUGUUGGAUGCAUUGAGGGCAAAUCAUGACUGUGGCUGCACAUUAUUACGUAGGAGAGGGAGCCAGAGAAACGCACCCAUGGGGAGAAUUCUUCCUUAAGUCAACCGCAGUGGCCUCCCCCACUUCCCCAGGUCGUGCUCUGCGCAUUUGAUCUGCCAGGAGAAGACCCGCUUCCUGUGAGCAGGCAGUGUUUGCUUCCUUAGUUCUUGUGUUGCUCCAUUCCCCAAUUCCCUGCUCUCUCUGCCCCCUCUUCUCUGUUUCAUAUGAAAAACAUCUGGAAGUCAGGCCUCGGGUAGGAGGUAAUGUAGCCUCUGGCAGAGAUCCUGCCAGAGUGAGAGAUCAGAAAGACCGUGAGAAAAAUGUCAAGCCUCUGCUCCAACCGGAUGUGCCCCAAGAUGGAGGAAGGUGGGUCUCACAGAGGAGAAACUAUUGUUAUUCAUCCUCAGUCUGUUUGAUUGGAAGCCAAAGUUACACACUAGGUUAGGGAAGCGAGUUAACUCCAAAGCCUCUAAAAUAUUCAGCAGACCAGAUUCCCUAGUGGGAAUCUGGGUUCCCAAUUGGAAAUUAUUACUUUGUCUUUCUGGAAUUAUGGUUCUAAAACUGUAGCAGGUGCCAAAAUCUCCUGGAUAGCCCCACCACCAAGAGUUUCUGUUUCAGUUGCUCAUGAAUUUGCAUGUCGAAGUUCCCAGAUGUUGUCUAUCCUGCUGGUCCGCAGACUUGCUACUUUGAGUAGCCUGAAUAGCGUUAGCAGUGGUUCUCAACCCUGCCUGCACAUUAGAAAAAUCUGGAGGUGCUCUGAAAAAUCCCUAUGCACAGGCCAUACUCGACCAAUUAAAUCAGAAUUUCUGGGAGUGAGGGUCAGGCAUCAAUAUUUUUUUACAACUCCACAGGCAAAUGCAAUACGCAGCCAAGAUUAAAGACUAUUGCUUUAGAACAGUGGUUCCCAACCCUAGUGCAUAUUUUAAAUGCAUAGGAUGCUUUUGUAAAACACUUAUUCUUGAGUCCCGUGCAUAACACCCUUCUAACUGGUCUCCCCCAUGUGUUAUCCACACAAACAUUAUUAUCAUCGUCAUCAUACACACAUACACACACACACACACACACACACACACACGCAUACACAUGCACACACAUCUUAAAACCUUCAAUUGCUUCUUGCCUUUAGGAUAAAAACAGAAGGCAGAAUUUCUGGACAUGGGCCUUUGUAUUUUUAAAAAAUGCUCCCAAUGAUUCAAAUGUCCAGCCAGGAUUGAGAAUCACUGCUCUGGAAGUUCUCUUAAUCACAUUCUACCCACUCUUUCAUCUUAGCUGGUUAAGUGUGGUCUGCUUACCCAGGCCUGUAGAAACCUGCUUUGGGCAGCAGCUCUGGGGUCCUGCAUUGGUAUGGACCCCUCCCACUUCCUUGCCCUGCCUUGCAGUCUCCAUUUGCCCUGCAUUUUUGGCUCCCCAGAGCUGCCUUGGCACUCCUCCAUUUUGUACUAAACAUUGGGCCCCCUUCUCUGGCUUCUGGCUCUGUCCCCAUUCUCCCAUAUCCUGACUUGACUUUCAGCUCUGCACACUUUGUCUCUCAGCUUCAGCCUCUCCCCCAUCCCUCAAUACUGGCUGCCUGCUUAGCCUCCCAUCCUCCAGGUCAAGUCCAUAAAACUUCGGCAAAUAUUUACUGAGGGCCUUCAAAGUGCCAGGCACUGUGCUGGGCAUGGAAUGCCAUGAGAGACAAAACUGAUAUUGGUACUGCCCUUGUGGAAAUUUACAUUCUAGUGUGGGGGACAGACAAUGAUCAAACAAAUGGAAAAUUGUGAUGGCGUGAGGUGCUGGGAAGGAGAGUGUGCCAUGGUGUCUAUUAGACAGAAACCUUGCCUGAGGAGUGAGAUGUAAGCUAAGAUCUAAGACAGCAGUAGGAGUUCCUAGGUGAAGAGGGUAGAAAGUGGGGAGGAAGAGAUGGCAUAUGCACAGAUGACAUGUGGGAGGGACAUGGUGUAUUGGAAGACUGAAAGCCUGGGUGGCUGUAAUGCAUGUUGUGUGAGAUGGUGGUAGACAUUCUGUAACAUAUAUGAGCCACCGAGCCCAGCCUGAAU